GGAUUGUAGUCUGCAACUCGACUACAUGAAGCUGGAAUCGCUAGUAAUCGCAGAUCAGAAUGCUGCGGUGAAUACGUUCCCGGGUCUUGUACACACCGCCCGUCACACCAUGGGAGUCGGAAAUGCCCGAAGCCGGUGACCCAACCAAAAGGAGGGAGCCGUCGAAGGCAGGUCUGAUAACUGGGGUGAAGUCGUAACAAGGUAAC
rnacentral:rRNA from 1 species